UUGGCGCUGACGACAUUUCUCUCCGGUUUGGCUAUGGGGUUCUGACUAAAACAAACUCAACAUCAAACGCCAUUUCUUGUUUAUAUCAGCACCGUAUUUUCAUCUAUCCAUGUGAUUUAAGCCAUUUGAUUUACACAAAAAGUUUACGUGUUUGAACAGGACAAUCCAACGCAAAACCUUUUGGCGAAGAAGCCAAAAAUGUUGUUGUAAAACGGACCAAGCGACACAAAUAUGUUAAACAUUUUCCAAAGCCAAAUGGAUUUUAAAGAAAACUAAAGCUUGAUGUGGCAUAUGUAUGCGUGUUCCCAACAAAAGGCUGCAGAAAUAUCGAUAAGGUGCAACGCAAAGGGGGAAAAAAAAACGUGGGAACAAAAGCAGAUAAACAAUUCAGUUGACAAAUAAUGAAUCGCAAAAAAAAACGGGGUUUGUAUUCUGUUAUCUGUGUGUGUGAAAACGAUUUUUGUACAUUUCAAAAAAUGGGAAAGGGAGCAAGUAAUUGGAGGAUAUCAAUAUUGAUUUCAAAGUCAAUAAAAAAAAUUAACAUUGAAAAACUUUAUUUUUUGAUUUUUACAACUGCAUGGCGAAAAAAAAAAGAAAAAAGAAUUAUAGUACGAUUAAACUUUGUCUGGUGUCUUUUUUUUUUCUUCAUUGUAUCAAUGACGAUGAUUUUAUUUUGUUUUACAGAGCUAUAAAGCAAUUUUCAACUUCCCUGCUCGGAACUAAUAACAAUUUGGCUCGCACUACAAAGAAUUUUUCACUAAUUCCGAGUGCUAGAUAAUUAUUCCUUUUUUGAAUCAAUUUUCUUUUUUUUUUCUCUCUUUUUAAGUUUAUGUAUCAUAAAUUUUCGUCAGAGCUCUUCAUUCUCUAAUCAAGUACACACACACACACAGUCCCACGCACACACACAUUGGGGGCGCACAGUCACGGGCUGAAGGGGAACAAAAGGGGGAAAAGCGAAAAACGAUAAAGAAGGUUGAGGUAAAUGAAAUCCACCAGGUGAGUCGAUCCGUCAAUUUCUAACAACAAACAUAAUUUUCAAAAAGAAGGGGA